rnacentral:rRNA from 1 species
AACGUAGGACGCAAGCGUUAUCCGGAGUUACUGGGCGUAAAGCGCGGGCAGGCGGUUCUGCCAGUCUGAUGUGAAAUCUCCUCGCUCAACGGGGAGCAGCCAUUGGAAACUACAGAACUGGAGUCUGACAGAGGUAGGCGGAAUUCCGGGUGUAGCGGUGAAAUGCGCAGAUAUCCGGAGGAACACCGGUGGCGAAGGCGGCUUCCUGGACCGACACUGACGCUGAGGCGCGAAAGCUAGGGGAGCAAACGGG